rnacentral:lncRNA from 1 species
CUCAAGAGAAGCCUUUCAUUCUAGACAUAGUAGUUAUUUUCUAAAUCAUCUUUAAACUUAUUUGCUGGAAUAUUGUGGGGGUAAAGUGCAAACUUCCCCUUCACCAUCUGAAGGUUUGCUAAAAAUCAACAGGCAGAAGGCGAAUUAACAGGAGAAAUGGCAUGCCAAUUUGUUUGAUCACAGUUUUACAUGAAGAAUGAAGACCCAAAGACACAUGAGAAAUUGUCCAUUUUUAUGCAACACCAGACCAGGCGAUGCUCUAAGACAGGUACAACAAAGUAUGGACAUGCGUGUAGAAAUACGAGUCAACUAAAGGGUGUGAUCUACUGCUAAUAGGCUGAGUGGGGACACCCAGACUCUUCCUGGCCCCUGUGAGCAGCUUCCUUUCCUUCUGGUGUGGGGCAGGAACUUCUCUGGAAUGGGGAUCUUCUGACCCACAGUCAAACAAGGAAUUGGACAGAAGUCACAUCAGGGAGACCAGAGACUAGAGUAUUGCAUCAUAGAGGAAAGACACUGAUGACAAGACCUCAGGGGAGCAGUGGAACUGGAGGCCUGGGAGCUUGGGACGUGUUCUCCGGGUGAAGUUGGCUGGCCAGCUGAUGACCUACACCAGUGCCAUUCACUCCUCAUGUGUCCCCCGGGAAUUCAUAGUGUGUGUCAUCAGGUAAAAGCAACACUACUUUCAGAUGUUUUCUGAUCUCUUUGAGAUCUGGACAACACUACUGUGUACAUAUGGCCAGCAACAAAUUACACUCAAUGAAUAUUUUAGAGAGCAGCAAAGUAAUCAAUUAAAAGAAUCUCAUAUGAAUGGGAUCGUCCAGCGUGUACCUUUCUCUGUGCAUCAAUACAGCAGGAGUUGGCUCCUCUCCCUGAGUGCACGUCAGUUUCACUUCUGCUGUUGCACCUGUCAAUUGUUC